AAGAAAGCUCACGCCCGAGGAAGAUGGCCCACGCAAACCAAGCGUGAGCAGCCCAUAUGCGCGCGGCUUGCGCAUGUGUGCUGUAAGGCUCGUGCAUAGGUGGACCCAAUAGCUCCACCACAUGGCUCAAGAGGCCCGCAAACACUGCAUGCAGAGCCCGCUGCACGCACUCAAGCCCAAUGGGCCGAAUGUGUGCGCCCUUUACAGAUGGUCCCAGAACCAACCCAAUCGACCAAGCGCGCAACCGAUAGCCCAACCGACAGGCCCGCUGUCAGUAGCCCAUGUGGAUCGGCUAGUACGACCCGUCCGAGUUGCCUAAACCCAGCCAGUCUAUCCUCCCUAUUUUAUUGAUUAAGUUAUUUUAUUAUUUU
rnacentral:lncRNA from 1 species